rnacentral:lncRNA from 1 species
UAAUCUUUUUCCUAUUCUUCUUCUCCCCCUUUCUUGUUCUGAUUAUCAAAUUUGAAACCCAUAUCAAUCUCUUCCUCUAUUAAAGCCACCAACAACACACAAUUAAUACAAAUAAAUCACCAUAAACACAUAAUAAUUAUUUUCUUCCUUUUCUUCAUCUUUUUCCUCCUUCUUCAACAUCACCCUCAUUGAACACAAAAUGAAACAUAACACAACCCAGAAAUCAAACACAUAACGAAGCAUAUACAACCCAAAAAAAAUUCAAAUCAAAAUGAACACGACCCAUAAAUCAAACGCAACCCAUAACCGAAAUUGAAAAGUGAUGAUGAUGAUGAAAAUCGAAAUCGAAUAUUGAUAUGUUGCUCCUUCCUUCUUCUUUUCCCUGUUUUUAUUUUAUUUCAUGGUGGUGAUGAUGAUGCUGAUGAAAGAAGAGGGUUAAAUCUGUGAGCUGCUGCUGCAAAUUGAAUCGAAGCGAGAAAGAAAAUCGGACAAUUUCGUCUUCACCAUGGGAAAACUCCAUGGAAGUCUUGCUCGUAUUGGUAAAGUGAGGGGACAAACCUAUGCAAUACAAUCGCCUUCGUCACCGCCGUGGUGGGAUUAGUGGAAGUUUUUUUAAUUAGCUUGGUGAAGUGUUACUUUUUUAUUUUAUUUGAUUCAUGAAUUGUGGACCUAACAACAUGACUAUUUGAUUCAUGUUCAGAAGCGUGGACCUAUUUAAUCAUACAUGGACAUGAUUCUGGUUCUUAAGUUUUUUUCUGGAUUCAUGGAAGAUGGAUUAAGAUGAUGAAGAAGAUGGACACAAGUGAGAAAAAUAUUAGGUGUUAUAGGCACACAAUAAAAUACAAUAGACUCUACAUGAUCCAACAAUCCUCUUUUAAACAAAAAAUUAAAGGGUUACAAUUAAAUUUUUUACUAAGGUCCAUGGUGGAUCACCUUGAAAUAUGGUUCACCUUAGAGAUUUGCUGUUAAAAAUUAACAGAAAGGAUCAUUUUGGUAAACAGAGGUAUAUUUAUGGGACCAAAUUGAGACACUUUAUAGUUAGGGGACCAAAAUGAAAUUCAAAAAUAAGUUAAGGGACCAAAGCAUGUAUUAAGCCUAUAAAUUAUGGGGAAAUGUUAACAAGUGUCCCCUAGACACUUCUUAAGCACUUUAAAUGAUAAGUUUUUUUUUUUUUUUUUUCCUUAUGAAAAGUUGUGUAUUCAUUGUAUUGAAAAUUGUAAUAGUUGACUUUUGAAAAGAGUAAUUGCUAAAUUUGAAUCCUUAAAGAGUUCUCCGAGGGCACUCAUUAACAAGAUCAUUUUCUUUGUACUCCCUCCGUUCCAAAUUAUAAGAAAAAAA